GGUAUCUUGUAAUUGGCCCGGUUAUCAUAAUUCGACGACUCUUCAUAACAAUUUUCAUCUCUUUCUCAACAUUUUCAUCGGUCGUUGAUGUGCUGGAGCAUUUAGGGCGAGAGUCGUCAUUCACUACUUCUCUACCUUCUGUGUGGAGCUUGUACCACAAGAGUCAUCAAGACUACUUCCACAGAUUUAUAUUUUGUAGGAUUCAAGAAAGAAUUAAAGUACGAAGUGGAAAGUGUAUCUUCCAUAAUAUAUCCACCUGUAGCUGAUGAAAUUGUGACGAAAACUGAAAGUGUCUCAAGUUUUUCCAGUCUUGUGCCGACACACACAGUUGAGUGUAAAACUGAACGAAUUAAAAGUGAUAUCGUUGACAGUCUAAUUGUAGAAAUCAAACCUGAAGUAGACGAAGACGAACCUAGCAACAUCAAUGUUUGUAACAACUGUAAAGAGACUUUUGAUAGCGAAGCGGAUUUGGCCAACCAUAAGAGUUUUCAAUGUAGCUUUCGAGAGCUAAAUCAGAUUGAGUGUAAAGUGAAAGUUGAGCUAGAUACUGAAACAAAAAGCGAGCACGAUAGUAGA